rnacentral:rRNA from 1 species
GACAGAGGGUGCAAGCGUUGUUCGGAAUCACUGGGCGUAAAGCGCGCGCAGGCGGCCUGAUAAGUCGGGAGUGAAAUUCCGGGGCUCAACCCCGGAGCUGCUUCCGAAACUGCCGGGCUAGGGACCGGUAGAGGUCGGUGGAAUUCCCGGUGUAGCGGUGGAAUGCGUAGAGAUCGGGAAGAACACCCGUGGCGAAGGCGGCCGACUAGGCCGGAUCCGACGCUGAGGCGCGAAAGCGUGGGGAGCAAACAGG